rnacentral:tRNA from 1 species
GCAGUGGUGGUUCAGUGGUAGAAUUCUCACCUUACAUGCAGAAGACCCAGGUUUGAUUCCCUGCCAAUGCA